rnacentral:rRNA from 2 species
UUGGAGGGCAAGUCUGGUGCCAGCAGCCGCGGUAAUUCCAGCUCCAAUAGCGUAUAUUAAAGUUGUUGCAGUUAAAAAGCUCGUAGUUGAAUUUCGAGACCGGCUUACUGGUCGUGCUAUUGUACGUACUGGUAUAAUCGGUUUCUCCUUUCUGACGAACUAUAAUGCCAUUAAUUUGGUGUUUUAGGGAAUCAGGACUGUUACUUUGAAAAAAUUAGAGUGUUUAAAGCAGGCUCACGCUUGAAUACAUUAGCAUGGAAUAACGGAAUAGGACGUUUGAUUCUAUUUUGUUGGUUUCUAGGAUCGACGUAAUGAUUAAUAGGGAUAGUUGGGGGCAUUAGUAUUCAAUUGUCAGAGGUGAAAUUCUUGGAUUUAUUGAAGACUAACUACUGCGAAAGCAUUUGCCAAGGAUGUUUUCAUUAAUCAAGAACGAAAGUUAGGGGAUCGAAGACGAUCAGAUACCGUCGUAGUCUUAACCAUAAACUAUGCCGACUAGGGAUCGGAUGAUGUUAAUUUUUUAAUGACUCAUUCGGCGCCUUACGGGAAAC